CGUGUAGGCGGCCUGAUAUGUCAGAUGUGAAAGCCCUGGGCUUAACCCAGGAAGUGCAUUUGAAACUGUCAGGCUCGAGUAGGGGAGAGGGAAGUGGAAUUCCUGGUGUAGAGGUGAAAUUCGUAGAUAUCAGGAGGAACACCGGUGGCGAAGGCGACUUCCUGGCCCUAUACUGACGCUGAGACGCGAGAGCGUGGGUAGCAAACA
rnacentral:rRNA from 2 species